CCGCCGGGGAUUACGGCGUGACGCAAGCACGGGGGCCGCAGCGCGCGCACAGAGGUAAACAAAACGCGCGCGCGGCUGACCGCCUCGCCUCAGGCGCCGUCGCUCGCCUUGCGUUGUGUACAAGAUGAUCACAGCCAUCAGCAGAAGCUUUUCCCUCAGAACUGUUCACGAGGAACCAGGGGCACACCGGGGUCUCCCAUCUCACGAAGGUCAGCCAGUGCUGUGGAGGUCAAGUUUAACGACGCGGCUCAAGACGGACGAGCUGAACUCAAACAACUGGCAGAUGCACCGAUCUUGGAGGCGAGAGUCGCACGAUGACCAUGACUCCUGUGGCCGAUUUCUCCUCCAUCACAGUUAAACAGCUUUGUCAUUUUUCACCGUCAUCCUUAACUGUCCGCUUCUGCAGUCUACCCCCUGCUACCAAAUCGCCCCAACCCAUUCGGUGCCCUUAAAUUUCCUCUGCAUCCAUCCCGUGAUGCCUGCGCUCUUUUCCUCUUGUUUAAUUUUAUCAGGCCAGGAAGUCUGUGCAAAAAUUAGCUCUGAAUCGCACUAUCGAUUAUUAUUGAUGCGGUAGAUACUGUUGCUUCCAAGCUGUGUGGAGCGCUGUGCUCUGGGAGGGGGGCGUCUUGGAAUGCCGGGUUAUUAAAAACAAAGGCGACAAUAAACAAACCCCGCCAUCUCUCUCGGCGUGAUGUAACCGUUCUGAACGAUAUCUGGUGAGGCGGUGCC